GGGUUGUGAGGUUAAGUGACUAAGCGUACACGGUGGAUGCCUAGGCAGUCAGAGGCGAUGAAGGGCGUGCUAAUCUGCGAAAAGCGUCGGUAAGGUGAUAUGAACCGUUAUAACCGGCGAUACCCGAAUGGGGAAACCCAGUGUGUUUCGACACACUAUCAUGUCAUGAAUACAUAGUGGCAUGAGGCGAACCGGGGGAACUGAAACAUCUAAGUACCCCGAGGAAAAGAAAUCAACCGAGAUUCCCCCAGUAGCGGCGAGCGAACGGGGAGGAGCCCAGAACCUGAAUCGGCUUGUGUGUUAGUGGAAGCGUCUGGAAAGUCGCGCAGUAAAGGGUGAUAGCCCCGUACACUAAAAUGCACAGGUCGUGAGUUCGAUGAGUAGGGCGGGACACGUGACAUCCUGUCUGAAUAUGGGGGGACCAUCCUCCAAGGCUAAAUACUCCUGACUGACCGAUAGUGAACCAGUACCGUGAGGGAAAGGCGAAAAGAACCCCGGCGAGGGGAGUGAAAUAGAACCUGAAACCGUGUACGUACAAGCAGUGGGAGCACCUUCGUGGUGUGACUGCGUACCUUUUGUAUAAUGGGUCAGCGACUUAUAUUUUGUAGCAAGGUUAACCGUAUAGGGGAGCCGUAGGGAAACCGAGUCUUAACUGGGCGAUUAGUUGCAAGGUAUAGACCCGAAACCCGGUGAUCUAGCCAUGGGCAGGUUGAAGGUUGGGUAACACUAACUGGAGGACCGAACCGACUAAUGUUGAAAAAUUAGCGGAUGACUUGUGGCUGGGGGUGAAAGGCCAAUCAAACCGGGAGAUAGCUGGUUCUCCCCGAAAGCUAUUUAGGUAGCGCCUCGUGAACUCAUCUUCGGGGGUAGAGCACUGUUUCGGCUAGGGGGCCAUCCCGGCUUACCAAACCGAUGCAAACUCCGAAUACCGAAGAAUGUUAUCACGGGAGACACACGGCGGGUGCUAACGUCCGUCGUGAAGAGGGAAACAACCCAGACCGCCAGCUAAGGUCCCAAAGUCAUGGUUAAGUGGGAAACGAUGUGGGAAGGCAUAGACAGCCAGGAUGUUGGCUUAGAAGCAGCCAUCAUUUAAAGAAAGCGUAAUAGCUCACUGGUCGAGUCGGCCUGCGCGGAAGAUGUAACGGGGCUAAACCAUGCACCGAAGCUGCGGCAGCGACGCUUAGCGUUGUUGGGUAGGGGAGCGUUCUGUAAGCCGUUGAAGGUG
rnacentral:rRNA from 1 species